UACGGAGGGUGCAAGCGUUGUUCGGAAUUACUGGGCGUAAAGCGCGCGCAGGUGGUUGGAUUAGUCAGAUGUGAAAGCCCACGGCUCAACCGUGGACGUGCAUUUGAAACUGUCCGACUUGAGUACUGGAGGGGGUAGUGGAAUUCCCGGUGUAGAGGUGAAAUUCGUAGAUAUCGGGAGGAAUACCGGUGGCGAAGGCGACUACCUGGCCAGAUACUGACACUGAGGCGCGAAAGCGUGGGGAGCAAACAGG
rnacentral:rRNA from 1 species